rnacentral:rRNA from 1 species
CCUAACACAUGCAAGUCGAACGGUAACAGGAAGAAGCUUGCUUCUUUGCUGACGAGUGGCGGACGGGUGAGUAAUGUCUGGGAAACUGCCUGAUGGAGGGGGAUAACUACUGGAAACGGUAGCUAAUACCGCAUAACGUCGCAAGACCAAAGAGGGGGACCUUCGGGCCUCUUGCCAUCGGAUGUGCCAGAUGGGAUUAGCUUGUUGGUGGGGUAACGGCUCACCAAGGCGACGAUCCCUAGCUGGUCUGAGAGGAUGACCAGCCACACUGGAACUGAGACACGGUCCAGACUCCUACGGGAGGCAGCAGUGGGGAAUAUUGCACAAUGGGCGCAAGCCUGAUGCAGCCAUGCCGCGUGUAUGAAGAAGGCCUUCGGGUUGUAAAGUACUUUCAGCGGGGAGGAAGGGAGUAAAGUUAAUACCUUUGCUCAUUGACGUUACCCGCAGAAGAAGCACCGGCUAACUCCGUGCCAGCAGCCGCGGUAAUACGGAGGGUGCAAGCGUUAAUCGGAAUUACUGGGCGUAAAGCGCACGCAGGCGGUUUGUUAAGUCAGAUGUGAAAUCCCCGGGCUCAACCUGGGAACUGCAUCUGAUACUGGCAAGCUUGAGUCUCGUAGAGGGGGGU